CAGUCGCCGCGGGAAUACGUAGGUCCCGAGCGUUGUCCGGAUUUAUUGGGCGUAAAGCGAGCGCAGGCGGUUAGAUAAGUCUGAAGUUAAAGGCUGUGGCUUAACCAUAGUAUGCUUUGGAAACUGUUUAACUUGAGUGCAGAAGGGGAGAGUGGAAUUCCAUGUGUAGCGGUGAAAUGCGUAGAUAUAUGGAGGAACACCGGUGGCGAAAGCGGCUCUCUGGUCUGUAACUGACGCUGAGGCUCGAAAGCGUGGGGAGCAAACAGGAUUAGAUACCCGCGUAGUCCCUGUCUCUUAUACA
rnacentral:rRNA from 1 species